UCGAGCGGUAGAGAGAAGCUUGCUUCUCUUGAGAGCGGCGGACGGGUGAGUAAUGCCUAGGAAUCUGCCUGGUAGUGGGGGAUAACGUUCGGAAACGGACGCUAAUACCGCAUACGUCCUACGGGAGAAAGCAGGGGACCUUCGGGCCUUGCGCUAUCAGAUGAGCCUAGGUCGGAUUAGCUAGUUGGUGGGGUAAUGGCUCACCAAGGCGACGAUCCGUAACUGGUCUGAGAGGAUGAUCAGUCACACUGGAACUGAGACACGGUCCAGACUCCUACGGGAGGCAGCAGUGGGGAAUAUUGGACAAUGGGCGAAAGCCUGAUCCAGCCAUGCCGCGUGUGUGAAGAAGGUCUUCGGAUUGUAAAGCACUUUAAGUUGGGAGGAAGGGUUGUAGAUUAAUACUCUGCAAUUUUGACGUUACCGACAGAAUAAGCACCGGCUAACUCUGUGCCAGCAGCCGCGGUAAUACAGAGGGUGCAAGCGUUAAUCGGAAUUACUGGGCGUAAAGCGCGCGUAGGUGGUUUGUUAAGUUGGAUGUGAAAUCCCCGGGCUCAACCUGGGAACUGCAUUCAAAACUGACUGACUAGAGUAUGGUAGAGGGUGGUGGAAUUUCCUGUGUAGCGGUGAAAUGCGUAGAUAUAGGAAGGAACACCAGUGGCGAAGGCGACCACCUGGACUAAUACUGACACUGAGGUGCGAAAGCGUGGGGAGCAAACAGGAUUAGAUACCCUGGUAGUCCACGCCGUAAACGAUGUCAACUAGCCGUUGGAAGCCUUGAGCUUUUAGUGGCGCAGCUAACGCAUUAAGUUGACCGCCUGGGGAGUACGGCCGCAAGGUUAAAACUCAAAUGAAUUGACGGGGGCCCGCACA
rnacentral:rRNA from 1 species